AGCCAUCCCUUGCUGAGAGAGGAACAUUCCAUGUUCUAGAGUCUCUAACAUGUGCAGCCCCUGAUGAGGAGCAAGAAUGCCCCCUCUCACCCAGCCUUGUCAGGGCCAAGUGAAAGAAGCCCGGGCAGGCCUGGGGAAGCUGCCCAAGGAGCCUCAGUAGUCAAUGCUGGCAUCGUUUCUCCCUCAGCCCCGUCUCUGUCACUUUGAAGCUUUCUACUGGUUUCCUUUGAGUCCCCUCAGCUCCCCAGUCAGAUCAAGGAAGAGCUGGUUGUUGCUUUCACAGACUUCAGGGGCAAGCAGAUCUGAGUACCUCGGGGGUCAAACAGACCUGCCCCAACCACAGCGUUGAAGAGGAGAUCCAUUUCCUAAAAAUGGGGGGAGACAGCUAUUGGUGGGAUGCUCUAUUCACAUCUGUCUCCACUGCAUGUCUACAGAACGGCUCCCUGUAGUCUGGGAGUAGCAUUCCCUGGCUUCUCUGAGCUUCCUGCGGUCCACGAAAGGCUGUUUCCCUUGACAGAAGCCUUUCCUCUUCUUCCAUAUCUGGUUGACUGCAUGUCCUUUGGAGCCAGCCCUCUGGACUGAGGACUUGAAUCUCUGAUUAAUCCGCCCAGUACUCAGCUCCAUGGCCUCAGUGGUGUCCACGAGACUCUUGACACGGGACCUAUUCACAAGGGAAGGCACCUCCCCACAGAUGCACCUGAAAGCCGUGGACCCUGUGAUUCUCAGGAAUUCGGCUGACUGAUGGAGCAAUCCUUCCCACGCGGGUGAAGGUGGAGGACUCCCCUUGACCCAGACACACGGGUAUUCCGUGAGUUUCUUGACGGUGCCAGUUCCUCUGAAGUAUGGAUUUUACUCCUUGGUGUUGUCUGAUUAGAUAAACUCUCCAAGAUAAAGAUCCGGAUAUAUUGGCAAGGGACCUGGCUUUUAGAAAACACAUAUUCCUCAGAUUGAAAGUUGUAGGCCCUCUUUUCUCUCCAGAAACUCAGUCAUUUGCCCUGCAGAAUUUUCUACACUGUGGAUUUGCCUGACUACACCCUGUGGUGCUGUUCCUCUAUCUUGUUCUGGGAUUUCAAUGGAUUGAAUGAGGCCCAGCCACGCCGGAGAGGGCAAUCUGCUUUACUCACUUUACCAACUUGGAUGUGAAUCUCACGGAGAAGCUCUCCCACAGACACACCCAGAAUACUAUUUGACCAAAUGUCUGGAUAUCCUGUGGCUCAGUCAAGUUGUUACAUAAAAUUAACCAUCCCUGCUGGUAUGUACGGAAACAUUAGUUGGAGCACGGCAGUUUGUGUUCAUUCACAGCACCCUGGGUACAUAAAUAAAUCCACAGCCAAGCAAAGGAGUGCGCCGAGGCUGUAGCAAAGCAAGCAGGAGGGCGCGGCCCAGGAGAUGUGAGCUCCCAUACUGCUCCCAGCACUGGGACCCAGCAUCCCCCUCAGCAAUAGCCCAGAAUACACAGGGCAUCGAGAGCCCUGCCCUGCAAAGGGAGGGCAAACCUCCCAUUCCUGGUGCUUUAAGUGGACCCAAUCCCUGGCUGGAACUUGAAGGCAGGCCACAAAAACAGACUGUUUCCAGCCCUUUACUACUCGUACUUGUCUCAGCCCACCUGCUCACACCUUAUCCUUCGGGUUCCUAACCCCACUAUCUGUACCCAGGUCUUAUAUUAGCAUUUUCCCCCUGGCCACUCAAUUUGAUGCAUGCUUAGAUUCACUUUUGGGGCUUCAUGAAGUUCCGACUUUCUUUGGGCACUGGACACUGCAUCGUGGAAUUCCUACAUUCUUUGCAAAAACUUCCUUACUCCAACCCACGUCGCAAGGACCUCCCACCCAUGACUAUGCAGAGUCGGGGAUUUGGCCUAACCCAGCAGGCUGGCUUCUCCUGCAGAUGCGCAAGGCAUCCCGUCACAUAGUCAGCAUGCCUGCUUCUGGAGAGGGACCACUCAUUGUGUUGGGCUUCCUUGCGAGCUCAGCACUGAGAUGGUCCUAGGAGUUUCUAUCCCCACGUUGCACCUGGAACUCUCAUGGUCCUUGACAGCCACAGGUUUCCAGUGGCAGCCCAUGAGGCCUCCAGAUAGGUGGCAGGGACCGAAAUACUUCAGAGCUUUUCCACUGACAAAGAUCAGCAAUUUGUUUUUAAAAUAAAAAGUCAAUGUUAAAGUGAAGUUGGCAUCAGGUAAUUGAGAUGCCAUCAGGAUCCUGAGUGGAGACUGAACACAUGCAACCACACAGUGUAGUAUUUUUAGGCAAUUGCUCACUUAUUUGAGAAAACACAGUGGGUAAAACUGUUUCCCUUGUGGUGACUGUUGGACUUUCUGCAUUUUCAGAGGUUUUCUGUAUUUUCAUAGGAGUCCCAUUUCCUUUUAAGAACCAGAUUGCCAAUGCCCCAUUAGUUAGCUUUCCACCCCAACAGGCCGCUUGCUCUUUUGCCUUUCCCUCCCCUUCUCUUUUAAACCAAUUAAUUAAAAAGCUUUACGAAAACAAUACAUGCUAACGUGAAAAAUUAAAGCAGUAUAGAAAACUACAACACAAAAAGGAAAAGCUCCUCUGCUCUCAGCUCCUACACUCCUCAGAGGUGGCCACCAUGAACAUUGGCUUCUUUCUAGAACUUUUCCUGCAUAGACAAUCAGAGAAACAUAGAUUGAUAGACUGAUUUAUGCAAAGAUGGCUGAAUAAUGAUGUUUAAUGCUCUGUUACUUGCUUUUCCAUACUUAAUUUAUGCUAGACAUGAUUUCACAGCAGUUGUCAAGGAGGUCUAUCACCCUUUUCAACAUUUGCAUUUUUUCAAUUAUAAAUAAAAAAUUAAUUAAUUAAGAAACACUUGCAUUUGGUUCUACUGUAGAAGUGUACCAUCAUUUGUUUAACCAAUAUUCCACAGAUUGACUUGUAGAUUACUUCAGAGGUCUUAAUAUUAAAUGUUCCAGUAAAUAUCCUCAGGCAUGUGUUUUUGAAGAACAGGGCUAGUGUAUCAACAGGAGAUUGUUUUAUAGGUCUUUAUAAAAUUAAACUGUUUUCACUGGUAUAAAAAUUUAAUAAUUGUCAAAUAAAAUGUUGCUCUUUUAAAGUU